UGAAAGCGGGGCGCACCCUCCGCGGUCGCCCGGGGAGGACGGCGUCGGGCCAACCGGCGCCCGCACUCCCGGGGCGCCUCGGCCUCCGGCCGCAGGCGCACCCGGAGCGUACACGUUGGGACCCGAAAGAUGGUGAACUAUGCCUGGUCAGGACGAAGUCAGGGGAAACCCUGAUGGAGGUCCGCAGCGAUUCUGACGUGCAAAUCGAUCGUCAGAGCUGGGUAUAGGGGCGAAAGACUAAUCGAACCAUCUAGUAGCUGGUUCCCUCCGAAGUUUCCCUCAGGAUAGCUGGCGUCCAUUUCGACCGGGACGAGUCUCAUCCGGUAAAGCGAAUGAUUAGAGGCCUUGGGGCCGAAACGACCUCAACCUAUUCUCAAACUUUAAAUGGGUGAGAUCUCCGGCUUGCUUGGCUGAAGCCGCGAGGUCUGGAUCAGGGUGCCAAGUGGGCCAUUUUUGGUAAGCAGAACCGGCGCUGUGGGAUGAACCAAACGCCGGGUUAAGGCGCCUAAACCGGAGCUCACGGGAAACCAUGAAAGGCGUUGGUUGCUUAAGACAGCAGGACGGUGGCCAUGGAAGUCGGAAGCCGCUAAGGAGUGUGUAACAACUCACCUGCCGAAGCAACUAGCCCUGAAAAUGGAUGGCGCUAAAGCUCCGUGCCUAUACCCGGCCGCCGGCAGGCAAGGGCGGCCGCCCUUUGGGGCGGUCGCGCGAAGCCCCGGUGAGUAGGAGGGCGCGGCGGUGAGCGCGGAAGGGUCUGGGCGCGAGCCUGCCUGGAGCCGCCGCCGGUGCAGAUCUUGGUGGUAGUAGCAAAUACUCAAGCGAGGGCCUUGAGGGCUGAUGUGGAGAAGGGUUUCGUGUGAACAGCCGUUGCACACGAGUCAGUCGAUCCUAAGCUCUAGGAGAAAUCCGAUGUUGAUCAGGGGCAUUGUGACAACGAGAACGCCCCCUUCGAGCGAAAGGGAAUCCGGUUCCUAUUCCGGAACCCGGCAGCGGAACCGACUCGUCGGGCCCUCGCAAGAGAAGCUCGUCGGGGUAACCCAAAAGGACCCGGAGACGCCGUCGGGAGACCCGGGCAGAGUUUUCUGUUCUGCAUAAGCGUUCGAGUUCCCUGGAAUCCUCUAGCAGGGAGAUAGGGUUUGGAACGCGAAGAGCACCGCAGUUGCGGCGGUGUCCGGGUCGUCCCCUCGGACCUUGAAAAUCCGGGAGAGGGCUACGCGGAGGUGUCGCGCCGGCUCGUACCCAUAUCCGCAGCAGGUCUCCAAGGUGAAGAGCCU
rnacentral:rRNA from 1 species